rnacentral:rRNA from 1 species
AUUGAACGCUGGCGGCAGGCUUAACACAUGCAAGUCGAACGAGUGGCGGACGGGUGAGUAAUGUCUGGGAAACUGCCUGAUGGAGGGGGCUCACUACUGGAAACGGUAGCUAAUACCGCAUACCAUCGGAUGUGCCCAGAUGGGAUUAGCUAGUAGGUGGGGUAAAGGCUCACCUGGGCGACGAUCCCUAGCUGGUCUGAGAGGAUGACCAGCCAAACUGGAACUGAGACACGGUCCAGACUCCUACGGGAGGCAGCAGUGGGGAAUAUUGAACAAUGGGCGCAAGCCUGAUGCAGCCAUGCCGCGUGUAUGAAGAAGGCCAUCGGGUUGUAAAGUACUUUCAGCGGGGAGGCGUUACCCGCAGAAGAAGCACCGGCUAACUCCGUGCCAGCAGCCGCGGUAAUAC